AACGAACGCUGGCGGCAGGCCUAACACAUGCAAGUCGAGCGAGGACUUCGGUUCUAGCGGCGGACGGGUGCGUAACGCGUGGGAAUGUGCCCUUCUCUACGGAAUAGCCCUGGGAAACUGGGAGUAAUACCGGAUACGCCCUAUUGGGGAAAGAUUUAUCGGAGAAGGAUCAGCCCGCGUUGGAUUAGGUAGUUGGUGGGGUAAUGGCCUACCAAGCCGACGAUCCAUAGCUGGUUUGAGAGGAUGAUCAGCCACACUGGGACUGAGACACGGCCCAGACUCCUACGGGAGGCAGCAGUGGGGAAUCUUAGACAAUGGGGGCAACCCUGAUCCAGCCAUGCCGCGUGAGUGAUGAAGGCCUUAGGGUUGUAAAGCUCUUUCAGCUGGGAAGAUAAUGACGGUACCAGCAGAAGAAGCCCCGGCUAACUCCGUG
rnacentral:rRNA from 1 species